rnacentral:rRNA from 1 species
UAGGGAAUCUUCCACAAUGGGCGCAAGCCUGAUGGAGCAACACCGCGUGAGUGAAGAAGGGUUUCGGCUCGUAAAGCUCUGUUGUUGGAGAAGAACGUGCGUGAGAGUAACUGUUCACGCAGUGACGGUAUCCAACCAGACAGUCACGGCUAACUACGUGCCAUCCGCCGCGGUAAUACGUAGGUGGCAAGCGUUAUCCGGAUUUAUUGGGCGUAAAGCGAGCGCAGGCGGUUGCUUAGGUCUGAUGUGAAAGCCUUCGGCUUAACCGAAGAAGUGCAUCGGAAACCGGGCGACUUGAGUGCAGAAGAGGACAGUGGAACUCCAUGUGUAGCGGUGGAAUGCGUAGAUAUAUGGAAGAACACCAGUGGCGAAGGCGGCUGUCUGGUCUGCAACUGACGCUGAGGCACGAAAGUGCGGGGAUCAAACAGG